rnacentral:rRNA from 1 species
UAACUCUAGUGGCGGACGGGUGAGUAACACGUGAGAAUUUGCCUUUAGGAGGGGGACAACAAUUGGAAACGAAUGCUAAUACCCCAUAUGCUUUCACGAGUAAAAUGGAUUUUAUUAUCUGCCUAAAGAGAAGCUCGCGGCUGAUUAGCUUGUUGGUAAGGUAAAAGCUUACCAAGGCGACGAUCAGUAUCUGGUUUGAGAGGACGAUCAGACACACUGGAACUGAGACACGGUCCAGACUCCUACGGGAGGCAGCAGUGGGGAAUUUUCCGCAAUGGGCGAAAGCCUGACGGAGCAAUACCGCGUGAGGGAAGACUGCCUAUGGGUUGUAAACCUCUUUUUUCAGGGAGGAAUAAAAUGACGUGUACCUGAAGAAUAAGCAUCGGCUAACUCCGUGCCAGCAGCCGCGGUAAGACGGAGGAUGCAAGUGUUAUCCGGAAUCACUGGGCGUAAAGCGUCUGUAGGUGGUUUAAUAAGUCAACUGUUAAAUCUUGAGGCUCAACUUCAAAACUGCAGUCGAAACUAUUAGACUAGAGUAUAGUAGAGGUAAAGGGAAUUUCCAGUGGAGCGGUGAAAUGCGUAGAGAUUGGAAAGAACACCGAUGGCGAAAGCACUUUACUGGGCUAUUACUAACACUCAGAGACGAAAGCUAGGGUAGCAAAUGGGAUUAGAUACCCCAGUAGUCCUAGCUGUAAACAAUGGAUACUAGAUGUUGAACAGAUCGACCUGUGCAGUAUCAAAGCUAACGCGUUAAGUAUCCCGCCUGGGAAGUAUGCUCGC